GACGAACGCUGGCGGCGUGCUUAACACAUGCAAGUCGAACGGAAAGGCCCUGCUUUUGUGGGGUGCUCGAGUGGCGAACGGGUGAGUAACACGUGAGUAACCUGCCCUUGACUUUGGGAUAACUUCAGGAAACUGGGGCUAAUACCGGAUAGGAGCUCCUGCUGCAUGGUGGGGGUUGGAAAGUUUCGGCGGUUGGGGAUGGACUCGCGGCUUAUCAGCUUGUUGGUGGGGUAGUGGCUUACCAAGGCUUUGACGGGUAGCCGGCCUGAGAGGGUGACCGGCAACAUUGGGACUGAGAUACGGCCCAGACUCCUACGGGAGGCAGCAGUGGGGAAUAUUGCACAAUGGGCGGAAGCCUGAUGCAGCAACGCCGCGUGCGGGAUGACGGCCUUCGGGUUGUAAACCGCUUUCGCCUGUGACGAAGCGUGAGUGACGGUAAUGUGUAAAGAAGCACCGGCUAACUACGUG
rnacentral:rRNA from 1 species